rnacentral:tRNA from 1 species
GCAGGUAUAGCUCAGUGGUAGAAUGUGUGCUCAGCUCAGCAUGCAUGAGGUCCUGGGUUCAAUCCCCAGUACCUCCA